rnacentral:rRNA from 1 species
UACAGAGGGUGCGAGCGUUAAUCGGAAUUACUGGGCGUAAAGCGCACGUAGGUGGCGACGUAAGUCGGGUGUGAAAGCCCCGGGCUCAACCUGGGAAUUGCAUUCGAGACUGCAUUGCUGGAGUACGGAAGAGGAGGGCGGAAUUCCCGGUGUAGCGGUGAAAUGCGUAGAUAUCGGGAGGAACAUCAGUGGCGAAGGCGGCCCUCUGGUCCAGUACUGACGCUGAGGUGCGAAAGCGUGGGGAGCAAACAGG